rnacentral:misc_RNA from 1 species
GAAGUGCGAUAAGUAAUGUGAAUUGCAGAAUUCGUGAAUCAUCGAAUCUUUGAACGCAAAUUGCACUUUUUGGUAUCCCGAAAAGUAUGCCUGUUUAAGGGUCAGUAUAAUAAAAAUCGGUAUGUUGCUUUUUUUUGUGACGUUCUGGAGUUUGGGUUAUCUUGAACAAAAUUUUAGUUUAAGAGACUUAAAAUUAACAACCAUCUUUUUGCGCAUUUUUUAGAUGUAUAUAAAUUUUUUUUAUUUCGUCUAUUAUCAUGCCAAAAUUUUAUUAGAUGCGACCAUAUCGAGUAGUUUCGUGCUUAUAAAUUUAUCAUAAUUUGACCUCAAAUCAGGUAAGAAUACCCGCUGAACUUAA